AACGAACGCUGGCGGCAUGCCUAACACAUGCAAGUCGAACGAGACCUUCGGGUAUAGUGGCGAACGGGUGCGUAACGCGUGGGAACCUGCCCUUAGGUUCGGAAUAACUACCCGAAAGGGGUGCUAAUACCGGAUAAUGUCUUCGGACCAAAGAUUUAUCGCCUUUGGAUGGGCCCGCGUUGGAUUAGCUAGUUGGUAGGGUAAAAGCCUACCAAGGCGACGAUCCAUAGCUGGUCUGAGAGGAUGAUCAGCCACACUGGGACUGAGACACGGCCCAGACUCCUACGGGAGGCAGCAGUGGGGAAUAUUGGACAAUGGGCGAAAGCCUGAUCCAGCAAUGCCGCGUGAGUGAUGAAGGCCUUAGGGUUGUAAAGCUCUUUUACCCGGGAUGAUAAUGACAGUACCGGGAGAAUAAGCUCCGGCUAACUCCGUG
rnacentral:rRNA from 1 species